rnacentral:rRNA from 1 species
AAGCGUUUAUGACCAGACUUGGGCCCGGUGAAUCAUCCAGCGUUCUCGCUGGUGCACUUUGCCGGGCUCAGGCCAGCAUCAGUUCGUCGCGGGGGACAAAAGCUUCGGGAACGUGGCUCCCUCGGGAGUGUUAUAGCCCGUUGCAUAAUACCCUGCGGUGGACUGAGGUUCGCGCUCCGCAAGGAUGCUGGCGUAAUGGUCAUCAGCGA